GAAAAUUUCUUUUAAACUAUUUGGAUGAAACUUUUCUCAAAUGUGUUCCCCAUUUAUGACUUAAAUAGAAGUUCCUGAAACUCUCAGAACUUUGGCAUUAAAGGGACUCCAAGGUCAGCCCAUUCAAACCCUUUCCAUAGGUGAUGCAGAUAAGGUCCAGAGAAGGGAAAUAAUAUGGCCUCACAGGCACACAGCUGGUUGGGGUGACAGAAGUGGGAUUAGAGGCCUGGUCCUUCCUUUGCACCGGCUGAUUCUCCCAAUAUAAGCUUUUGCUGAUGCCAGGGCAUCAUGGUGACAGAAACAUUGGUUGGUGGGUUAAGUGUCCCAUCAGGCAAUGACACUAAGACCAUCUGCUCCUGUCCCAACAGAUCAGGUGGACUAGACUUCUGGGAAACAGGACGGGUACUGCAGUGGCUUUCUGAACUUUCCUUAGUAGCCACAGACAAAAUCUCCUGUGAACGCUAGUGUGAAAGAUAGAUCUCAGAAGACUGGGUCUGGGGAGUUCCAUGGACCCCAGAGGCUCUGGGCAGCCCCGCUGAAAACCACUGGUCAAGGAAACUAGACCUGCACACAGGGCCCAGAAGGCCUGGACUCAUCCGGUCUUCUCAUCUAGGAAAUGGCUGCUUCCUCACAGCACCCCCAGGAGGCUAAACAGAGUAACCAGUGUGAGCAGAAUUUGCAAAUUGGGAAUAUACAUAAAACAUACAUGCAUCUUUCUUUAAUCUAUAUUUUUGUAUGUCCUUCCGCUGCCUGGCUGUAUGCCAUCCCUCCCCACUGCUGUUGGGAGUCUGUCUGCUCCCCUGCUAAGGUGCUGCUUUGAAUCUGCCCUGGGCUGGGAAGCAACAGUCCCUGCCUUUCAGAUCUUCGGUGCCAUGAGCCCCCUGCUGGCUCUGGUGGUUGGCGGUGCAGGAGCCGUGAGAGCAUUUGGGAGCCUGAGGGCACGGAAAGAGCGCACCGACUGGAUCUGGAUCUGAGACCCAGGCGGCAAUGACUGUCUCCAAGCCUCGUUUCCUCUUCUGUGAAAUGGGGGCACGUUAUACCAGCCUCCGGGGUACAUAAGUUGCCCGGGAAAACACGUGUUCUGAGGAAUGGAGACUGCAACCCACCAUGCACUCUUCCGUCAGAAACCUCCCAGGCUCCCUGCAGCCACAGAAUGAAGUUGGAAUUCCUACUCCAGCUACCAUCAAGGCCUCCCUCCACAGGUGACCCGGCCCCAGCUUUGUCUGGAUAUGUUCCCCUUUUCCUCCUCAGGGCUCCUGGGCUGCAGCCAAACGUGAUCCAGUUGAUGCCCAGCUAACAAACAAAAUAGGAAUAUUGACGCUUUCCUGCUCUGAGCUUGCACUGCUUCUGCUGGAAGGGCCACCCCCAUCUUCCUGCUCCAGCAAGGCCACCUGAGGAAGCCCUCAUCCAUCCCACCUCCUGGCUGCCUCAGGUGGAGCAUGUGCGCCCUCUGUGAACUCAGAGCCUAGGGGCUUUCUCUGAAGGCCCUGUCCCCUCCUUCCUUUAGUAUGCCUACUCAUCUCCCCUCUUGAACUCCCUGUGGACAGUGGGCCUGUCUUUGAUUCUCUGUGUUCCAGGGCUCAGAACAUUCUGUCAGGCUCAACAAGUGACUGAACAAGUAGUUUCCCAUUUAGGAGAGCCCUAGUCAGAGGUAUGGAUAAACAAGGGGCAGCUUAGAAGUGUCCCUCAGAGCUGGGAAAGGCACUGAACGACACUCAGUCUAGCAUCUGCUGAGGGCGGAGCCCCUCCGUUGCCUCCCCAGCAAUGAGACGGAUCUACACAAGACUAGCCUUCAGGAGACAUGUUCACCCCUGACCUGGAACCUGAGGGGCCCAUCACUCGAGGGCAGUAUUCUCCUCAAGACAGGCAUGAGGUGGCUUGAUCUUGAGUCAUAGACAACAGGGAGAAUUGGGUGGAAAAGGGGCACUGAACUAGGAGUCCUGAGGCUUGGAUUCCAUUUCACCAACUCAUUUGGCUUCUUAAGAAAACCAUGGGGGGAAUUCCUUGGUGGUCCAGUGGUUAAGACUUGGCGCUCUCACUGCCGAGGCCCCAGGUUCAAUCCCUGGUUGGGGAACUAAAAUCCCAUAAGCCAUGAGGUGUGGCAAAAAAAAAAAAAAAAAAAAAGAAAGAAAA